rnacentral:rRNA from 1 species
GACGAACGCUGGCGGCGUGCCUAAUACAUGCAAGUAGAACGCUGAAGGAGGAGCUUGCUUCUCUGGAUGAGUCGCGAACGGGUGAGUAACGCGUAGGUAACCUGCCUGGUAGCGGGGGAUAACUAUUGGAAACGAUAGCUAAUACCGCGUAAUAGUAGAUGUUGCAUGACAUUUGCUUAAAAGGUGCAAUUGCAUCACUACCAGAUGGACCUGCGUUGUAUUAGCUAGUUGGUGGGGUAACGGCUCACCAAGGCGACGAUACAUAGCCGACCUGAGAGGGUGAUCGGCCACACUGGGACUGAGACACGGCCCAGACUCCUACGGGAGGCAGCAGUAGGGAAUCUUCGGCAAUGGACGGAAGUCUGACCGAGCAACGCCGCGUGAGUGAAGAAGGUGUUCGGAUCGUAAAGCUCUGUUGUAAGAGAAGAACGAGUGUGAGAGUGGAAAGUUCACACUGUGACGGUAUCUUACCAGAAAGGGACGGCUAACUACGU